GGGCGGUUAGCUCAGCGGUUAGAGCGCCUCGUUCACACCGAGGAGGUCGGAGGUUCAAAUCCUCCAUCGCCCACCA
rnacentral:tRNA from 2 species